CUUCAGUCUUCUUUGCGACUCUUCAAGUUUUAAAUUGCUGUAGACACUUCUGGCUUCUAGCCUUGAGAAAGAAGAUGGAAAAGACCUCCUGUGAUCAAAAGUGGCUUCUGUCCUUUACAAAGAUACACCUUUCUUGAGAUCUCAUCGUUCUACAGGGGUGGGGAACCUGUGGCCUCAAGGUCACAGGUGGCCC